GGGGGUUUAGCUUAGCGGCAUAAGCGCCUGCCUUGCAAGCAGGCAGUCCUGAGUUCGAUCCCUGGUACCAAUA
rfam:Cavia porcellus supercont2_7 genomic scaffold, whole genome shotgun sequence.